AUUGAACGCUGGCGGCAUGCUUUACACAUGCAAGUCGAACGGCAGCGGGGAGGAGCUUGCUUCUCUGCCGGCGAGUGGCGCACGGGUGAGUCAUACGUCUGAACGUCUCGAGAAGAGGGGGAUACCCACCCGAAAGGGUGGCUAAUACCGCAUAAAUUCUGAGGCAGAAAGCUGGGGACCUAGGAAUAGGCCUAGCGCUUCUUGUGCGGCCGUCGUCGCAUUAGCUAGUUGGUGAGGUAAAGGCUUACCAAGGCGAAGAUCUGUAGCGGGUCUGAGAGGAUGAUCGGCCACACUGGAACUGAGACACGGCCCAGACUCCUACGGGAGGCAGCAGUGGGGAAUUUUGGACAAUGGGCGCAACCCUGAUCCAGCCAUGCCGCGUGUAUGAAGAAGGCCUUAGGGUUGUAAAGUACUUUUGUUAGGGAAGAACAGUCAGCUGUGAAUAAUGGCUGAUACUGACGGUACCUAAUGAAUAAGCACCGGCUAACUACGUG
rnacentral:rRNA from 1 species